AGUGAUUAACUGUGCAUUUGUUGGAAUCUUUCUUCCUUUUGGUAGGCCGCUUCUCGGUAGUAUUGCAAACCCUUGCUUCCCAAGAAAGCAGUCAACAUAUUUUGGCCAUCUGUUUCUUGAUAAAUUUAAACAUCAAAAGCAACGUGAGAUGAAUGCAGCCGUGUCUACAUCACAUUGCUCUCAGCCUAACACCCUUGAGUAUGAUAUGGCAAUGGAAUGGUGCUUGCUACAAGAAAGAUUAGAUCGCACCUGGGGAAAGUUGUGCAAGCAACAAAUAGAGGAAUUAAGAAAACUCAGGACAGACCUCAAGUCCGGAUGAGUUACAGGUUCACGGCUUUGGUCAUCUUGUUGUUCGUUGUCAAGUUGCUUCAGGAAUAUUGAAAAUGAUGUUCAUUGGCUAUCACAAGUCAAACUGGUAGUUGGCUGCAGAGUGAUUAACUGGCAGAAGGUGGUGAGUGUGUGCGGAUACAUAUCGCUUUGUUGCUUGGAGACGGGGAGGAUUUUUGUCGAGCCCAUGCUCAAACGUUUUGCAGGCUUCUUUUGGAAGUUGAAAUCAACUUCAAGUCUCUUUUCUUCUCUGGAUAUGUACAUUUUAUCCUAGAAAAUUGUAAAUACUUAGGAGUUCUGGUGUUGGUAGUUGUAUUCCCCGUCCUGAAGAUAUUUUAAAAUCAUGUAGAAUCUUAGAUUUGUAUAUGUUGAUUUAGGUUUUCGCUCU